AUUGAACGCUGGCGGCAGGCCUAACACAUGCAAGUCGAACGGUAACAGGAAGAAGCUUGCUUCUUUGCUGACGAGUGGCGGACGGGUGAGUAAUGUCUGGGAAACUGCCUGAUGGAGGGGGAUAACUACUGGAAACGGUAGCUAAUACCGCAUAACGUCGCAAGACCAAAAAGGGGGACCUUCGGGCCUCUUGCCAUCGGAUGUGCCCAGAUGGGAUUAGCUAGUAGGUGGGGUAACGGCUCACCUAGGCGACGAUCCCUAGCUGGUCUGAGAGGAUGACCAGCCACACUGGAACUGAGACACGGUCCAGACUCCUACGGGAGGCAGCAGUGGGGAAUAUUGCACAAUGGGCGCAAGCCUGAUGCAGCCAUGCCGCGUGUAUGAAGAAGGCCUUCGGGUUGUAAAGUACUUUCAGCGGGGAGGAAGGGAGUAAAGUAAUACCUUUGCUCAUUGACGUUACCCGCAGAAGAAGCACCGGCUAACUCCGUG
rnacentral:rRNA from 1 species